rnacentral:rRNA from 1 species
CACGUAGGGUGCGAGCGUUGUCCGGAAUUAUUGGGCGUAAAAGAGCUCGUAGGCGGUUUGUCGCGUCUGCUGUGAAAGUCCGAGGCUCAACCUCGGAUCUGCAGUGGGUACGGGCAGACUAGAGUGUGGUAGGGGAGACUGGAAUUCCUGGUGUAGCGGUGGAAUGCGCAGAUAUCAGGAGGAACACCAAUGGCGAAGGCAGGUCUCUGGGCCACAACUGACGCUGAGGAGCGAAAGCAUGGGGGAGCGAACAGG